GGGACCUGAUGCAGCCAUGCCGCGUGUGUGAAGAAGGCCUUCGGGUUGUAAAGCACUUUCAGUUGUGAGGAAAAGUUAGUAGUUAAUACCUGCUAGCCGUGACGUUAACAACAGAAGAAGCACCGGCUAACUCCGUGCCAGCAGCCGCGGUAAUACGGAGGGUGCGAGCGUUAAUCGGAAUUACUGGGCGUAAAGCGCACGCAGGCGGUUUGUUAAGCUAGAUGUGAAAGCCCCGGGCUCAACCUGGGAUAGUCAUUUAGAACUGGCAGACUAGAGUCUUGGAGAGGGGAGUGGAAUUCCAGGUGUAGCGGUGAAAUGCGUAGAUAUCUGGAGGAACAUCAGUGGCGAAGGCGACUCCCUGGCCAAAGACUGACGCUCAUGUGCGAAAGUGUGGGUAGCGAACAGGAUUAGAUACCCUGGUAGUCCACACCGUAAACGCUGUCUACUAGCUGUUUGUGACUUUAAGUCGUGAGUAGCGAAGCUAACGCGCUAAGUAGACCGCCYGGGGAGUACGGCCGCAAGGUUAAAACUCAAAUG
rnacentral:rRNA from 1 species